UGGCCGUUGGCAUUUGAAUUAAAUCGAACAAAAAAAGCAAGCAGGCUUUUAUCGGUUUUAUCCCAAAAAUAGACUUGCAACAAAUGUCCAAAUAAACGAAAUUGUUUUCAACAGACGACGUUGUUUGCUGUGUGUGUGAGUGCCGAAAUGUAACGAACUAUUUUCGAGAAAUUCAAACUCAAAAUGUUGCCCAUAAAAGGGUAGCAUGCAUACGUGGAUCGUAGGCGUACCCCUACAGCCAAUGGAAGCCCCAUUCGCGCCCCAUUCGAGGGACAUAUGUGUACGUUCUGUAUGGAGUUGCAUCCGCCGAUUUGCUUUUCCGGGAAAUCACACAUAUCCAUUCAAAGCAAGACUCCAAUUUAGAGAUUUGCAUAAUUCUUACCAGCUUGUGCGGCUUAUGCGACCUAUUAGGUAACUCUAUCUAUCGAAUCCACCGACAAGCCGCUGGCCAUCGAAACCUUUUCAGGCGGACAUUUACAUAUGCACGAGUAUCUCCGGAUCUCCCCGGAAGAUGCCACAAAAGAAGUUCAAGUUGAAGCAAGAGGGGAGGGGAAAGACGAACUUGACUUUCACUGGCUAAUUAGAAUUUCAGUUAGCGCUCGCCAAAAGAAAUGCAACAACAGCAAUGUGAUAUGAUAUUUUUUGUAUUUAGUUUCAAUUAUUAGGCAAAUUUUUACGAAAGUCGCUUUGACAUAUCUAUAAUAUGUACCGUUGGCCGACCGCUGCACUUUGUGGGAGGAGAAAGGAGAUGGAGAAGAGUGGUCUCCAAUUGGAGACUUGUUAAUCGUCAAGUUUUAGUGUGACCGCUGUACAUAUGUAAAUUCUGUAAUUCUUCAUUGGCAACCGUUUUGGGAAUCUCGCACCCAAGGGAAAAAGUCAGACAAAUACGAGUAAAAUUUACCGGGUCUUUUUUUUAACCAUUUCAUUAAAAAAAAAAAAAUAUGUUUCUACUGGGUGCAUCGCUCAUCACGCUUUUCGGAGACUGGAAACAGACCGAAACAAAUUGCAUUUCCAUUUCAUUUUAAGCAAAGAAAACAAAAACGAAAAGUAUAAUUUAACUCAAAAAUGUAAUACAAAUAAAAUCAAAUCAAAGCGUA